rnacentral:rRNA from 1 species
AUCGAACGCUGGCGGCAGGCUGAACACAUGCAAGUCGAACGAGUGGCGGACGGGUGAGGAAUGUCUGGGAAACUGCCUGAGGGAGGGUGAUAACUACUGGUAACGGUAGCGAAUACCGCAUACCAUCGGAUGUGCCCAGAUCGGAUUUGCUUGUUGGUGGGGUAACGGCUCACCAAGGCGACGAUCCCUAGCUGGUCUGAGAGGAGGACCACCCCAGCUGGAACUGUGUCUCGGUCACAGCUCCUACGGUCAGCGGCAGUGGAGAAUGUUGAGCUGUGGGCGCUAGCCAGCUGACUCGAUGGCGCGUGUAGGAGGCAGGCCAUCGGGUUUUUAAGUACUUUCGACGGGGCGACGUUCCCCGCAGAAGAAGCCCCGGCUGACUCCGUGCCAGCAGCCGCGGUAAUUC